UUAUAAAAUAAAAUAAACUUAACAGAAAAAAAACAAGUGAAAUUCUCACAUAUCGCGUUUUAUAACGACGGCUUAUAUGCGGAGUAUAAAAAAAAAUAAAUUUACGACACUUCAGUCAUCGUGUUUUUUCUCCCUAUGCCCAUAAGGUUUUUUUAUUAUUAUUUCCUGGCAACGUUUGUCUAGUUUUUAGCAGUUUCCUUUAAUAUUAAUAGUUCGUAUCAUAGUUUCCCGAAAAUUCCCAUUUUCUCGACGAAAACCACUACGAAACGAAUAAUAGUCUGGAUUUGAAAAGUUUCAGUCGCGCAUUGUCGAAAUCUUUUCAAUAAUACCGCUCAAAUAUUUACAUGUAAAAUUAAAUUAAAAAUUAACAAACCUGACUGUGCCUAACCUAAACUAGCCGGCACAGUGGUAUUUUUUAGUAAAUAUUCACUGUGUGCCCAAUACACGUCUCUUAAAAAGCUCCACGAGUAGAUUGUCAAAUCAUCCCCUAAAUAUUUUGACUUAUCCCAAUAACCACUCUUCCUGAGAAUAUGAGAAUUUUUCUUACAUAAAAAUAAUUAUUUCCUUGCAAAAUCUAUUUAUUUCCCAAUUUCCAUAAUAUCAUCUAUCUAAAUUAUAUCCGUCUAUUGUAAGCUGAUAGCUAUUGAUACAAUGAUUUUUCCUGUAAGUAACUUAAAAUGUUUUUUUUUUCAAUGGG